GCCGGGGUGGCAGAGCGGUUAUUGCGCCGGUCUUGAAAACCGGUGCCCUUCGGGGCACAGGAGUUCGAAUCUCCUCCCCGGCG
rnacentral:tRNA from 5 species